UACGUAGGUGGCAAGCGUUGUCCGGAAUUGUUGGCGUAAAGCGCGCGCAGGCGGUCUCUUAAGUCUGAAUGUCGAAAGCCCAGCGGCUCAACCGUGGAGGUCAUUGGAAACUGGGGGACUUGAGUACAGAAGAGGAAAGCGGAAAUUCCACGUGUAGCGGUGAAAUGCGUAGAGAUGUGGAGGAACACCAGUGGCGAAGGCGCUUUCUGGUCUGUAAACUGACGCUGGAGGCGACGAAAGCGUGGGGAGCAAACAGG
rnacentral:rRNA from 1 species